ensembl:lncRNA MIR3976HG MIR3976 host gene
GAGUGUAAGCUGCUAUAUGAAGGGAUCCACAAGACGAAUAAUUAAGGGGGACCUCUGAUCAACAGCCAGCAAGGAACUGAAUCCCUCAGACCCACAACUCACAAGAAACUGAAGCUGAAGCAGAUUCUUCCUCAGUCAAGCUUCAGGUGCCCAGCUGUAUUGGUAGAGGAGACCAACCACACCCUCCACAGCACAGCACCUGGAGAGGAACUGCUGCCAUGACCAUAGAGGACACCCUCUGGAUACAAUGCCAGACUUGAUGUGGGACUGACCAACCUAUGGACCCCAGGCACCACCACCCAGACCUGCUCAGCACCUGAAAUAUUCGCUGUUCCUUCCAGCAUUCACAGCCGUGGAGAGAGAACUGUUCACUGCUACCAUCCACACUUCUGGGCCCCUUCAGCAGCAGGGUGACAAGGAAGAGGGAAAUCGACUUGGAAAAGAGGGGACCUCUGACCCAAGAGUUCGGUCAAUGCAUAUGUUGGCAGCCAGCUGCACAUCGCACCAAAUAUGAACUUCAAAUAGAAGAAAGCCUCAUUUGGAAGAAAGCUCAUGCACAGACUGUAAAUAUUUCAGAGCAGAUUGUGUCUCUGUAGAUUAAAACAGGGCAUUAAGGCACAGACACAGAGGGAAGACCUUGUGGAGGCUUGGAGGAAGACAGCCAUCUACUAUCCAAAGACAGAGACAUCAGGAUGUAACCAACCCUACAACACCUUGAUCUGGGACUUCCACCCAGCCUGUGGUGCUGGUCAUGCCAGCCUGAGCAGACUGUCACAGCCGGCUUUUCCUGACUCCCCUUUACAGAGGGCUCCUACCCUUCCUGCCACUCCACAGGGCUAUAGAAAGAUUUUUUAAAGAUCUAUAUGAAGAAUAAGAAGUUAGUCCCUUUCGGACAAAAAUCUUCAGUAAAAUUGAUCUGUGCCCCAGGCACACAAAGAAGCAGGAAUCUGGGUAUUCUCACUGUCAAUAUUCCAUAUGUCUAGCCCCUGGAAACCUAAAACAAGACCAGAGAAUACCAAGGAAGGCAGAUUAUUUGGAAGACAUGGAUGCCAAAGUGCUUCUCAAUCCAGUCUCAGAAGCCAGAGAUGUCAGUGGGUGCUGCUGUUUUAUUUCCUGUGAAUCGGAGGACGAUGAGAAACCAAAUGAAAAUAUUGCCACAGUUAAGAUUGAAAAGAAGGCAAUUUAUGAGUGAGGUGUGGAUUUCAAAUGAGAUCUUCUCUGUUGACAGAGAGCCUUUGCUCUAAGCCAAUACCUGAGCUUCUGCCAGUUUGAACAAUUAUAAUGGAGGAAGGAGAUGAGGGAUUAGAAAAAACAAAGCUGACAGAUGGCAAUUUGUGAAGAGUUGAAUCAACAUAAAUUAUAUCUCAUCAGUGAGCAGAGGAAAGAGAGGAUGUUUUCCAGUGUUCGGCUAACCACUGAGAUGGUGAACAUGCCAGAGGCACAGCAAGCAAACCACUGGGCACCCUCCAGAUCUGGAUGCAAGCACAGAGCUGGAGAAAUACCCUUUAUUGGAAAGCCAUAUGGAUUGCAAAUUGUGGAUAGACAUCUAUUUGAAACAAUACAAUAAAUGAACAUCUGGGA